rnacentral:lncRNA from 1 species
GAAACACAACACACUUUAUUAAACUCAGCUUCAGCCUUUACAGGCAAACUCAAUGCAGAAAACGUUCUCUAAUGUCAAGCUGUCCAAAAACUGUGCAGCUGCUCAGACGUCUUCGCUCCAGGUCCCAGCCGACCGCAAGAGAUCCAAAACCAGGCGGCGCCGUGAUCACACCCCACUGCUACAUACCCCGCUGCCCGACUCAGGCCGGGGAUCCACCGGCCGCAAGCCGAAAGCUCCAAACAACCCGAAUGGAAGUCACAAAUUGGUACAAUCCGUACGGAGCUCAGAAGGCCUUUUUCUCCUUGGACUCUGGAGACAGGGGAAUCUGCCAGUAGCCCUUGGUUGAAUCCAGUGUUGUGUAAAAACGAGCUGUGCCUAGACGACUACAGUCUUAAGAGUCCACAACUAGGUUUUAUAUCUGGUUUCUUGGCAUCUUUUGCUUCAAUCUUGUUUGUUGUCACUUCUACCUGAUGUGAAGAGCUUGACUGCUCUCCACUCUAAGAUCAGGCUCUUGGUUCGAUGUAAUGGCAUUUAUAUUCAGGGAUAUCAAGGUACACCUCACUCUGUUCUUUGCUGAACUCAAGUGACAAAUUAUAAAAGUUAUUUUUGUCAAUGACAUAUUUUAUAUCCACAGAUUUAUUAACUUUGCUCUGUUCAGUUUGGUCUGAAAGCAGUGUACUGUGCUCUUCAUCUUUUGUCUGAGAAGAUAUUCUGAGCAAAUUUAACAAACUUCCUAGCUUCAUUUGGAUAAGCGUCCGGCCUCUUAGAUUUUGGAUUAUAGUUUGUUUUUGUGAAGGAUGGAAUUUGCAACUCCACUGCAUAUUAGCUCAUGUAAAUUUGGAAUUUAGACAGUAAAUGGUAUCUGACGGUUAACCAAUCAUAAUGCAAAACCAGCUGACAGACUGAUAAGAAGUUCGUAAAGCUGGAGGUCACAAGUUGUAGGCUAUUUCUUAUUAGAACAGGGGCUGUGUGCUAGCUUGUCAAAUCCAGUUGUGAUGAGAAAACAUGUAGUGCAACAUUCUCUCAUGGACUCUCACCCCUAUUGUGUUUACGUUUCCAGAACCCCUGAGGACAUUAUUUAGAAUGACCAUUUGCACACAUAUGAAACCAAAUUCACUCGCAUACAGAGUGAAACGCUCUCAUAUUCACGUGUUAGCUGAAAUGGUGACGCACAGUAGGUCUGUCGAUAGCUCAGAAAAUGUGUUUGUACCAACAGCCGAGAGCUAUCUUUUCCUAUUUGUUUGCCCAUGAUAGAAAUGUGAAUUUCCUCAAACUGCCUAACGUUUAUGACACUUACAAUAAGAUGUAAGCUUAGUCAGUUAAGAUGAAAACCUCUGUCAGCGUUAACAAUAAAUUAACCUUAUAAGGCUCAUAAAAGUAAUAUUCAUUACAAGAUCGGAUUGGAUUGCAUAAUGUGUAGCCUACUUUGAAUACCCAGAGUAGGUUUGAUGUCAAUGUACCCUUUAUAUGUUUUUAAAAUUCUGUUUUCGGCACAAGGUUAUUUUGU